GAUCCACCUGACUCUGCAUGGCCAUAAGCUUCACUGUGGUGGGAUUAGUGGUAUUAUGCUUUACAUUUAUUGUUGUCGUGGUCUUUGUGUGCAUGAGUCCACCCUAGGGGUCACUUACAAUAAACACAUUUUCCCUCAUCUUUCAAUUGGUGGAAUAUGGGAAACCACUUCACAGUGCUUCAGCCCCAAAGACUUUGAGGACAUGUAUGGACCUCACCUAACUAAUUAGCAUAUGAACAGCAUGAACACAAUUCUAUAAGUAUGACUUAUCAUAGACAGCCAUGGAUAUGCUGAAGCUUGUAACAGUACACAAGAAUGCAUUCCCUGAUACGGAUGGAGAUAUAUAUAGAGAGAGACACUUGCUUACUGCUAUUGCUAAUGUUGGCUCAGGUGGUUUAUUUUCUCUGGGCAUCUUACCCACUAAAAUACCCAUUCACCUCCCUAACUCUGAGAAAAUCCCAUACCACAGACACAGGGAACUUUAAUACCCCACAAUACUAAAGUUGUGUGUGAUUAACAGCCCCUGUGCCCUGUUCCAAGGCAUUCAUCACAUCCUGAGGCGCAAAUCUCUGUGGGGUACAACUUUAGAAAGAGAUCGAGUUUCAUGCCUGUGCCUUGGAGAUCAUUUCUUGAUCUAUGUAAUAGACAUUUGCCCCACUUCCAUACCUACUCUGUACCCCACAAGGCAUUAAAGUUCUCAAAUGUUCUGACCUGGACCUGGAACGUAGCUCUCCAAAGAGCAGACAUGCAGUUCUCCAGCAGACUGGUUGGAGCAUGGUCUCAGGUGAGUCAGUCCCAGGCUGGAGGCCAAGGACAAUAGUGUCUGUUGGCCCCACUCUCACACAAUGGAGCUUCUUACCAGAAUAUCUUAGCCUCCCUUGAUCCCUGAACCCGUGGGGACUCACUUUUUCUAUGUGUUAUAGUGUGUUAAAACCAGGCACAGCAUUAAGGCAUGGUAGUGACAACACAUGUCUAGCACAACCCCUCCUGAAGGUGGCUCCCCAUGGACUCUGCAAGCCAUCUAUUCUCAACAUAUUGUACCAUCUUGGAGCUGAUCACACUGAGGAAGUGCACAGAACAAGGGCAGGAGCAGGUGCUGGAUCCCACAGAGUUAGGCAGCCCUUCUCUGUGUGUGGACCUCAGUGCCUGUCAGGGCAUCGGGAUGGCCCUCUUGAAUGAAUUAGGGAGAUCCCUGCCUGGUGGUAUUGAGUCAGGGUGGCAGUGGACACUGGCUGUGUCUGGCAGCCAAAUGGGGCAACGCAGAGUGUAUACCACUGCCACCUGCUCAAGACAUCCUUCCACACUAAUUCUUUUGUGGUUCCCCUGCCAGACUUUUUCUACCCUCCUUUUCCACUCCAACCUUCCUUGGAACUUUGAGUGGAAUCAAAGGAGGAGGCACUGCAUGUGUAGCUGCCCAAAGUCUAGAUGUCACUGUUCUCUGCUGUCACCCAAAAGGUAUGGUGGUUGACAAAAUCAGGUGUCCAUCAUUGAGAAACUUGGGGCCUUUUUCUGCUCUUCCAUCUUCUAUUCCCUAAUUCCUCAGGCAUCCAUCCCUCCUCCUGUUAUAUAUCAUUCUCCUUAGAGCACACAGCUAGGCUUGUGCUAACCCUGGUUGGCCUGGGGGCUGCUCUGUGCCCCUUCCAUCCCUUUUUGUCCCAGAGAGAAUCCUGUACCCACAGGUAUGGCUGAUGGGUUAUCACUUAGAGCAAGCUUAAUCCAUCCUGUGUUGUGCUUGGUCCAGGGCCUAGGAUUGAGGUUACUAUGAGCCCCUAAUGUUGGUUCCCAGAUCUAGAAGUUCUUCUUAGAACAUGGUGCUUAGAAUUUAGAUCUCAAGGUCAGUCUGAAAACCCCUAUCUGUGGAGCAUCUAAGGAGCUGACCUAAGCAUUGGGUUACCAUGUGAUGCAUGCGUAUCUGGAUAUGUGGGGAGACAAAUGCAGAUACUCCUAUCUGGCCGAAUCGAGGUAGAAACAGUAACUUUGAAAUGGCUCCUGUGGGGUGGGCAGAAUUGGAUCUGGCCAGGGACUAAAGGCUUAGUGCACCAGACUUUGAAGCAGGGACCAAAGAUCUGGACCACACAUUGGAAGGGAGGGAAAUAAGGGUGCCCAAGCCCAACUGUGUCUGGGGACAAAUUCCGCCCCACUGUUACCAUGAGUCUCUGUCCUUUCCCAAGACCAACUGACUGUGUUAUAAGGCCUGGCAGUGUCAUCACUCUGCUACUAGUAUGUCUCUGGUUCUUUCAGGAGUGAACAGCACCCGGACAGGAGAUGGCCCAAGGCUUACAUGUGUAUAACGUGCCACUGUCUCAGGGACUGACUCUCAGGAAAGUAUUAGUGAAACUUUGACAUGAAUGGCACUGAAACAGCUGGUUGCUCUGGGUAUCCUGAACAUUGUAACAACAUGAAUUCUUCCCAUCCACCAUCACAGUGUGUCUUUUCUUCUGUUAGUGCCAUUUCACUCAUUGCAUCAGUUUCUACAGUUUUUAAAGAAAAGGCCUGUACCCAGUCCUCCUCACUGUUGUUCUCUGCCUCACUGGGCUCACAGUGCUCCAGUUCAGGCAGGAGAAGUAACUUUGGAAGAUCCAUGUUGGUUUGCAGCUGCUGCUUGGAGCCAAGAAGCAGGCCUAAGGUCCUGGGGGUGCAAGGUGUGGGCAGCUGAGUGUGAGCUGGGUGUUAUCCCACCCUAACUACUCUCCCAAGGCACCCUGCUGAGUUGGAUACCUGGCUGCUGCUCCAGCUGUGGAGAGCCCAGUUCCACCCUAUCUCCACCACUAGUGGAGCAGUGCUGCCCCAGACAGCUCUGGGGGACUGACAGAUGACUCCAUGGGAGAGCCUGUGAACAGUGUUGUGACCCCCUCUCUGUUCUUCAGGAAAGCUGUACACACAUCUCUCUAGUGCUUCCCAGUGGUAUGUUGCCUUCACAAGGGGAUGGAAAAGUGUCUACUAUGGUACUGGGAUUGUGCUUCAUACAUAUGUGAGAAGUGAGGGAACAGAAGGGAUGGGUAGUGUUCCACCUUUCCUCAGCUGUUAGAUUGCACAGAGACUUGCCACCCAGUACUCUGUGCUUCCUCUUGAGUCCCCUUCCACUGAUGUGUUUCCAUAUCUAGGGAAGCCCAGAGGAAAUCUCAUGUACCAUAAAUUUAGUAGUAUAUGAUCUGCCAUCCAGGGUGACUGUGUUGCUCCCACUAGUGUGGAAGGUCAAGAGGGCAGUAGCUACAUCUUUGUUGGUCAUUGGAUCAUGGUCAGUGCCUGGCAAAGUGUCUGUUCACAGUGUAGCUCUAUGUAUAUUCAUGUACUCAUGGCACCUUCUGGUUCUGGUGAUGUCAUCUGAAUGGGCCUGGGGCCUCUGCAAGGCCCAAGAGAAUCUGGCUAUGAAUAAUACAUCCUAAACCCCAUAGAGCAUCCUAGGAAUCAGAUUUUGCAUAAUGGCAAGUUCAUAUUCAAAUUUAACAAUUUAAUCAUCAGUGAAAAUCUCUUAAAGUAAAUAAAAAAGCUAGAGAUUUUGUGUUAAUACCUGUGGUUCAUUCCUGCAAUGGAAAAGAAAAACGUGUAGUGUAUAAUCAGUCAAAUCACAAGAAUUAUUGCUUUGUCCUCCAGAAACUAAUGUGGGUGUGAAAGAAACAGACACACACCACGAUGUUCAGAUGCAUGAAAAACACCACAGUGGAGGGAAACCCUGGGUAUCCAAACAAUAUGGGAAAGCUUUAACCACACAUAGAAAUAGUAAGGAACAUGAAAGAAUUCACACUGGAGAGACCUCAUGUAUGUAAGCAAUGUGGGAAAGCUUUUACAACCAGUGGACAUUGUAAGCAACAUGAAACAAUUCACACUGGAGAGAAACCUUAUGUAUGUAAGCAAUAAGCAAAAGCUUUUAUCAAAUGUGGACAUCGUAAACGAGAUGAAAGAACACUUGAGAAAAACCCUAUAUAUGUAAGCAAUGUGGGAAAGCUGUUACCUCACCUAGAGAUUUUAAAAGUCAUGAAAGAAUUCACACUUGAGAAAAACUCUAUAUAUGAAAGCAAUGUGGGAAAGCUUUUACCUCACCUGGAGAUUUUAAAAAUGAAUUCACACUGGUGAAAACUGUAUGUAUGUAAGCAUUGUGGGAAAGCUUUUACCAACAUGGACAUUGUAAGCAACAUGAAAGAAUUCACACUGGAGAGAAACCCUAUAUAUGUCAGCAAUGUGGGAAAGCUUUUACCCAAUGUGGACUUUGUAAGCAGCAUGAAAGUUCACACUCGAUAGAAACCCGAUAUAUGUGAGCACAGUGAGAAAGCUUUCAGUACAACUACAUAUUGUGUACUGCAUGAAAAUCUUCACACUGGCCAGAAACCAUAUAUAUGUAAGGAAUACUGGAAAGCUUUCAGCAAAAUGCUCAUUGUCAAAACACAUGAAAAUAUACCCUCUGGGGAGAAACUACAUACAUAAAGAAUGUGGGAAAGCUUUCACCUCACAUGGAUAUUGUAAAACACAUCAACAACUUCACACUGGCGACAAUACCUAUGUAUGUAAACAAUGUGGGAGAGCUUUUACCACAUAUAGUCAUUGGAGAACGCAUGAAAGAAUUCACACUGGUUGCUGGGGGUUUAGCUCAGCGGCAUAAGUGCCUGCCUUGCAAGCAGGCAGUCAUGAGUUUGAUCCCCGGUACCGAUAAAAAGAAAAAAGACCAAAAAAAAAAAAAAAAAAAAAGAAUUCACACUGGGAAGAAACACUGGCUAUGUAAGCAAUGUGGGGAUGAUUUCAGGAGCCAGAGUGAAUGUGAAAAUCAGGAGGAAACCCACACUGGGAAUUCAUUGUAUACAUUAUGGGAAUACUCUCAGCAAACAUGAUAAUAGUUACAUAUCUGAAAGAGCUCACUGGGCAGAAAUACUACGUGGACUAGCAAUGUGAGAAAUAUGUCAGUCAACACACUUUGUUAAAUACAUAGAAAAAGCCUCACUGAUCUGAAUUUUUAGAUCUAAGUUUAGUUUUAAAAUCCGAAGGAGUCCUGAAGAAAUAAUUAAUACAAAAGUUUGAUGUCCACAUUUCUUCACAAAUUUUCCAGAAAUGACAAAUCUGAGGUGGAGCUCUCCUCAAGUACAUGUUAUGUGAUUUUUAGUUAAUCACUUGUACUUAUCUAGAUUUUUUAAAGUGCAUUUGUGCUUAAACAUAGUGUCUUUUAAUUAAACAUGGUAAACUGAAAUGUACUUUUUCUGUUCAAAUAUGCGUAGUGUCUAUGUACUUAAUGUUUUGUCUUUAAAACUUAAUUUUUGUAUUUUUUGGUAAAUUGUAAUAUUGAUGCUGCAUUUGUUGUAAUCUUUUGCUUCAUUUUCUGUGGCAUAAAUGAUAUUUCUGAAAUUGAUGCUAUAUUUGACAUUAAGAUAUAAAUUUAAAGAGGCUUGGAGCAUAUGUUUUUGACAAAGUUGUGUUCUUUUCACAUGACUUGUACAUUAAUGAAUGUUAUGUUUUUCAUGCUGUGACAAGAUACUUGCUUAUAUCCUAACAUCAGUGGAUUUAUACCAUGUACAUUAUGUUGCCUGUUUCUCUUUUUCCCUGGAGCAAAUAUUGUCCUUUAUGUAAAUCUUUGUUUUUCUAACCAUUAGAAUAUUACCUGUUAUAUUUAUAUUGCAUCUUUUGUAUUAUUAAGUUUUCUACCACAUUUACCAAAAGUAAACCAUACUGCUGUGAAUUUCUAAUUGCCCCACACUGACAGAACCAUAACUUGUCUCCAAAAGCAUAUAACAAAUUAUAUUAAUGUCUCCAGAAAGUAAAAAAUGUGGUAUGAUUUGUCAGUAACCACACUUUGAAAGGAAUUUUUUAACUGUGGACUUGUUUUGGGGAAAAAGGUUGCUAUUGAAUGUAUCAUGCAAAUGCCUUUAUUUUACUCUUUGGUGUUGUGAACCUAUUACCUAUUUUGUAAUUAUUACUGAUAUUUCCUAAAGCACUGAAGUAAUGGCAUGAAGGGAAAUUUAAAUUUUGAGCUGUCAGCACAGUGAAAAAUAAAUUUGCUAAAUUAUAAUUCAGAUUGCGUUCUGUUUUUUACUGAAUUGUGAAUUUAUACAAUUGCAUGUCUCAUUAUUUAUAAGGACAACUGCCUGAUGUUUGUGGUUUGUGCUGAUCAUAUUUAAACACAUACAAUGGGCCAUGAGUCCCAGUUGGUAUUCUGUGAACUGUGGUUUUCACUUCCAUUUUAUCAGUCAUGUAAUUUGUAAAGUGUUUAAUUCAGUGUUGUUGAAUAUAAAAUCUACUUAGGUUCCAUUGGAAUUAUGCUGUUAAAAACUGGUGUCAUGGAAACACAAGUGAGCACUGCAUUAAAUACCCCUAAUCCAAUGAAGAUAGCUUGCCCUAAUAUCAGUUAUGCUUGGACACAUAAAUUACUCUCUUGUUGUAUAAUCACCACUAAAACUAUGUCUGUUUUAUAUCUGAAGUCUCUGACAUGCUUUAUGAAGUAAAAGAAAUGUAAAAUACAUCAUUAGCCUCUAUGCACUACAGCAUAUGGCCAGAUUCCCUGCAGCACAUUUCUGCUUACCAUCACCAGGAAGAUGUGGAGUAUGUAUUUCUAGUAAUAGAAUAUUGAAUCUAUAAGACAUAUAUCCUGAGUACAUUCACUUUCUCAUUUUACCAUGAAAAUAAAUCUUGGAGGUCCUGUUGAUUCAUGCUUGUAAUCCUAGCAACUCAGGUGGCUUAAAUUAGUGGAAAAGAAAUUUGAGUCCAGGCUACACAAUUUAGUAUGACCUGUCUCAAACUAUAUCUUCAAGUUCUGCAGAUGUGGUCUAGUGCUUUAGUACUCGCCCCAUGUCAACAUUAUUUUGAUACUCACAGUUAUACAUCAGUUGUCCUUUUAUCACUGGGCCACCUAGCAGUUAUCCCCAAGCAUCACAUGGGAAGCAAAUUUGUUUAUGCACUGACUAUGCUGAGCAUCAUUGGGGCAGUUGUAAUUUUAAUCCAUUGAUUCCUGUAUUAAAUAUAUUACUACUGUCACUUUUAUAUUUCUUGUUAUUUUAUAAAAACUAAAAAAAAUUAUGCAACUUUUGAUCAUCUUGUAUUUAAAUAAUUGCACUGUUAAGGAGUUAUGUAUAAAGAUCUAGGUUAAAUGUGAUUCAUUUAGUCCCAGCAUCAGUAGAUGGUGAGAAGAGAAGGUAAUAGCUUAGAAGCUGACUUUGGGUGGCAACUUUGUUAGAAGAUUUAGCAGAGUGCAUAGCAGUUGUUUUUAUACCUGCAACUGAGGUUUAAGGAAACAAGUAAGUGGAGGUCAAGAAUAUAAAUUUAGGGAUAGGAUAAAAGAAUCACAACUGCAAAUCAUGAUUUUUCUUUCACUUAGGAAAUGUACUUUUUAUGGUAAUCUGUGCAGCAGUCUCAAAUAUGCCUCUAUUAGAGUAAAAUAUAGUAAACAUGAAUGAGCCAUGCAUUCCAUGUUCUGAAUGUAGAGGCAUUAAAAAGAAACUUUUUAAACUUAAUGCUAUUGCUGGUGUUUUGUAUUGAAAAUAAGAUAGGGUGAAAAAACAAUCAAAAAGGAUUAUACAAGAUUUCAUAGUCCUGCACAAACAUAGAAGCCAAAAAAAAAAAGAAAGAAAGAAAUCAAAUAAAAAAGGAUGAAGAAAUAAUCUACAGAAUGAGAGAAGUUUUGCAUGUUACUCCCUGACAGCUAGCAUGUAAAGUCAAUAGGAACAUGAAAUGAAUACACACUUUUUAGAGUAGAUAUAAAUUGCCAAGAAA